CUUCCCGGCAUGGGUUUCUGCCCAGCUCACCCGCUGUCAGCUGGGGUCCUGCUCUGGUGGGAGGAAGAGGCUCAGACGCUUCGCUGCCCUCUCGCCUCAACCACCUCGAGGCAGCGUCUCCCAGGAUGUGCACUUUGACGACUAAAGCUGAGCCGGCGCCGCCACGACCUUGGGCGGGUGGUCGGCCUCUGCCCUGAGCAGGAAGUAGAAAGUCUCAGCAGACCCUUCCUGAGGGCCGAGCAACACUGUAGUGGUGUAUUCCACAUAGCAAACAGGCAGCAUUUCUUCCUGUGACAAUAUGGUGUAAGACAAAAUUGUGGCCUGCCAUGAAGUUUUGAGAGAAGGCACCCCUCAUUUCUUCAGGAAAGGCUGCUGCCACUCCCUCCUGCUCCUCUUCUCAGGAGUUUGUGCAUCCAUGAGUUUUCUGAAGCUCAGAGGGACACCUUGUAUUGCUGGAUGAUAAAAACAGGAGCAGAGUGACGAAGUGCUGACAAGGCAACAACAGAACAUGAGAGAUUUACUGCUGUGUGGGAAGAGAUCUUCAGUGACCAUGUAGCCUGAAGCUCCCAUUUUGUCAUCGAGGGACACCAAAACUCAGAGCAGGUGUUGUUCCUGAGAACUGGCUUCAAAAACCUUGCUGCUCAUUUAUCUUGUCUCACGGUGGGCUCCCAGGGAACCAACGAAAGAGGAGGAGGAGGAGAAUAGUGGCGGGGGUAGAAGCUAAGUCUCUGAACACCCACUGCGGACAGCAGUGAGAACCACCACCUGGGGUGAGCUACCUUCAUCUCUAGUGGUGGCAUAAAGUCUGAGGAAGAUUGGAGACCCGGAAAGAAGGAAAGAGAAAUUGGAGAAGAAUUCCUCCUUCUGGUCCUAAAACUCUGAACUGGGAGAGAGACAGGCUAUGGGAGAAGAUUGAGAUGGAUUAGAGAAUUCCUUUUAAGGACCUCUUCCCUACCCCAACCCCAAACAUGGAAAGAAAGGAAGAUCUUGAGUUCCUUCAAGGGAAAUUCUAGGCACCUAGCUAGUUCUGAGAAGUAAAUAAGCAACUUGAUAAGCAAGAAGGUAACAGUAGCUUAAAACAAUAGCCAGGGAAGCUAGAAUCACAGAAUAUUUCGUUCCCCUACAAAAACUAAAGAUAACGUCUUGCCAUGUCUCUGAGUUGCUUCUCAGAAACUGGGACCCCCCCACCACAUGGAUCUUCUUGCAUGUAAACCUCAGAUAAGGGGGAACUGGGGACUGAACUCAGCACUGUUCUUUGUUCUAAAUUUCUUUCUGAGAGGCCUGGAGGAAGUCAUAACCAACCAGAGUAACAUUCUUUUGUACUGACCCCAAAUUUUUAAACAAAACUUCUCUUCUUUAACCAAUUACAGAAAAUCUUUGAAUCUAACUAUGACCUGUAAGCCCCCUGCUUCAAGAUAUCCCACCCUUUUGGGCCAAAAUCAAUAUGCAGGUGUUCAGAGACUUAGCUAAAUCAAUAUUGAUUUAUGGUUUUGUCUGUAACUUCUGCUUUCCUGAAAUUUAUGCCUGCCUUUAAAAAUCUUCACCUACAAGCAAUAUGGGGAAGGCUGGGAUUUAAGCAUUAGCUGCUCGAUCCUCCUUGCCUGGCGCCCUGUAAAUAAACACCUUUCUUUUUCCUGCUACGAACCUUGGUGUGGGUAUCUGGUCUUACUGUGCUGAGCCAAUGGACCCCAGUUUGGUUCUAUAACAAGAUAAUGGUUAUUUUCACAUUUACACAGUAGAGAACCUCACUGCCUUAGGAGCAGAUACUCCUGAGGCAAGGCAGAUCCCAAAGAUGCUGGGAUAAACUAGCUGAGUUUGUCUAGGAUAUGCCACAUACAUGGCACCUAGAGAAUCCUACCUUGUCCUAUAAGAUGCAUAAAGAUGGGCUCAAAUACCAAUUCAAAGACCUGUGGAUAAGAAAAAUCACCCCUACAAUAUCCACGAAUUCUAAAAAGACUUGCUUGUGGUCAGCCUUGGCUUUUGAGUUCCUGCUUCCACUGGAUUAGUUCAGUUUUCUGACUCAGCUCUUCAGUCUGUAGAUGUUGUCUUUGUUUUACAUCAAAGUGACCCACAUGUGAGACUUGGCCUAUACACUUGACUUCCACUAAAAAAGCCACUUGUACUCAAUGUGAAUGCCUGUAAAGCAGACUGUCCUGAAGGGGUAAGGAAGCUGUGGAGAUAGUUACAUCAGAGCAGAGCAAAUGACUUUGGAAUCUGAAGCAGACCUCCUUGUUCUUAGCAGUUUUUUGGCCUCUCAACCACGUGGCUUGCCAUUUUUCUUCUUUCUCCAUCACCCCCCAAUGAAUCUUUUCUGUUCAAGUUCCAUUGAAUUCUAAUUCAGAAAAGUUUAAUUAUCUUCUAAUGAGCUUGUCUUCAGCUAAGCCAUGAUUCAGGGUCUCACCUUCUAACCCUAGAUGUUUAUCAGGGUCUUUUCUUUAACAAAGACAGUCCUCUCUGAGAAGAGGGUUAUAAUUUUUUUCACUCCAUUAAGCCUGAAUGAAGGUUGACUACAGAAGAGAAAGGAUGCUGCUUUUCUUUGCUGACCUGGGAGGAGAUAGACUUUUUUAGCCCCUGUGAAAUCUGUGAAGGUGGUUCAAGAAGCAAAGAUUGAAGGAUGAGGUCUUCAUCCUUCCUCUACCUGGAGAAGUUUUCCUUGUGCUGGUGAGAGAAGACAUGUGCUUAUUUUAUCUUCUCCAAAGAGCAGGGAAUGACUUUGAACUAAGGUGGUUGCUCUUUCCAGAGCAGAUGCUAAUCAAAGCAGCCAACCCUAGUUCUGGAAGUCAUCCUUGACAAGGCAUUUCUUUUAGUAAAGUCCAAACAAAAUUUUAACCUUCACUAAGAAAAGGAAAUGGAGUGGUUCAGAGUUAUUGCUAUGACUAGUGUCUUGCUAAGCUACCCUAGAAAAAGGGAAAUGGACCACCUGUCCCCUCCAUUCUUUGCCCACUCUAGGAAAUACACAAAAUCUUAGAAAGGACUUAACAGU